ACGGAGGGUGCAAGCGUUGUUCGGAAUUACUGGGCGUAAAGGGCGCGUAGGCGGCCUUGUAAGUCGGAGGUGAAAGCCCGGGGCUUAACCCCGGAAGUGCUUUGGAUACUGCUUGGCUUGAGUGUGGGAGAGGUAAGUGGAAUUCCGGGUGUAGAGGUGAAAUUCGUAGAUAUCCGGAGGAACACCGGUGGCGAAGGCGGCUAACUGGACCAAUACUGACGCUGAGGCGCGAAAGCGUGGGGAGCAAACAG
rnacentral:rRNA from 1 species